GAUGAACGCUGGCGGCGUGCCUAAUACAUGCAAGUCGAGCGAAUGGAUUAAGAGCUUGCUCUUAUGAAGUUAGCGGCGGACGGGUGAGUAACACGUGGGUAACCUGCCCAUAAGACUGGGAUAACUCCGGGGAAACCGGGGCUAAUACCGGAUAACAUUUUGAACCGCAUGGUUCGAAAUUGAAAGGCGGCUUCGGCUGUCACUUAUGGAUGGACCCGGGUCGCAUUAGCUAGUUGGUGAGGUAACGGCUCACCAAGGCAACGAUGCGUAGCCGACCUGGGAGGGUGAUCGGCCACACUGGGACUGAUACACGGCCCAGACUCCUACGGGAGGCAGCAGUAGGGAAUCUUCCGCAAUGGACGAAAGUCUGACGGAGCAACGCCGCGUGAGUGAUGAAGGCUUUCGGGUCGUAAAACUCUGCGGUUAGGGAAGAACAAGUGCUAGUUGAAUAAGCUGGCACCUUGACGGUACCUAACCAGAAAGCCACGGCUAACUACGUGCCAGCCGCCGCGGUAA
rnacentral:rRNA from 1 species